rnacentral:rRNA from 1 species
CCAGACUCCUACGGGAGGCAGCAGUGGGGAAUAUUGCACAAUGGGGGAAACCCUGAUGCAGCGACGCCGCGUGAAGGACGAAGUAUUUCGGUACGUAAACUUCUAUCAGCAGGGAAGAAAAUGACGGUACCUGACCAAGAAGCCCCGGCUAACUACGUGCCAGCAGCCGCGGUAAUACGUAGGGGGCAAGCGUUAUCCGGAUUUACUGGGUGUAAAGGGAGCGUAGACGGCCAUGCAAGUCUGAUGUGAAAACCCGGGGCUCAACCCCGGGACUGCAUUGGAAACUGUGCGGCUGGAGUGUCGGAGAGGCAAGUGGAAUUCCUAGUGUAGCGGUGAAAUGCGUAGAUAUUAGGAGGAACACCAGUGGCGAAGGCGGCUUGCUGGACGACGACUGACGUUGAGGCUCGAAAGCGUGGGGAGCAAACAGGAUUAGAUACCCUUGUAAUG